rnacentral:rRNA from 1 species
GUAGCCGGGCUGAGAGGCUCAACGGCCACAUUGGGACUGAGAUACGGCCCAGACUCCUACGGGAGGCAGCAGUCGGGAAUAUUGCGCAAUGGAGGAAACUCUGACGCAGUGACGCCGCGUAUAGGAAGAAGGUUUUCGGAUUGUAAACUAUUUUAGACAGGGAAGAAAAAAGACAGUACCUGUAGAAUAAGCUCCGGCUAACUACGUGCCAGCAGCCGCGGUAAUACGUAGGGAGCAAGCGUUAUCCGGAAUUAUUGGGUGUAAAGGGUGCGUAGACGGGAGUUUAAGUUGGUUGUGAAAUCCCUCGGCUCAACUGAGGAACUGCAACCAAAACUGAACUUCUUGAGUGCAGGAGAGGAAAGCGGAAUUCCUAGUGUAGCGGUGAAAUGCGUAGAUAUUAGGAGGAACACCGGUGGCGAAGGCGGCUUUCUGGACUGUAACUGACGUUGAGGCACGAAAGUGUGGGGAGCAAACAGGAUUAGAUACCCUGGUAGUCCACACUGUAAACGAUGGAUACUAGGUGUAGGGAGUUAUAUAUUUUCUGUGCCGAAAGCAAACGCAAUAAGUAUCCCACCUGGGGAGUACGGCCGCAAGGUUGAAACUCAAAGGAAUUGACGGGGGCCCGCACAAGCAGUGGAGUAUGUGGUUUAAUUCGAAGCAACGCGAAGAACCUUACCAGGGCUUGACAUAUAGAGGAAUAAUUAAGAGAUUAAUUAGCUCUUCGGAGUCUCUAUACAGGUGGUGCAUGGUUGUCGUCAGCUCGUGUCGUGAGAUGUUGGGUUAAGUCCCGCAACGAGCGCAACCCCUAUUUCUAGUUGCCAGCAUGUAAAGAUGGGAACUCUAGAGAGACUGCCGGUGAGAAAUCGGAGGAAGGUGGGGACGACGUCAAAUCAUCAUGCCCUUUAUGUCCUGGGCUACACACGUACUACAAUGGCCGUAACAGAGAGAGACGAAACAGUGAUGUGGAGUAAAACUUAGAAAAGCGGUCUCAGUUCGGAUUGAAGGCUGAAAUUCGCCUUUAUGAAGUCGGAAUUGCUAGUAAUGGCAGGUCAGCAUACUGCCGUGAAUACGUUCCCGGGCCUUGUACACACCGCCCGUCACACCAUGAGAGUUGGAGAUACCCGAAGCCUGUGAGCUAACAUUUAUGGGGCAGCAGUCGAAGGUAGAAUCAAUGAUUGGGGUGAAGUCGUAACAAGGUAA